rnacentral:rRNA from 1 species
UACGAAGGGGGCUAGCGUUGUUCGGAUUUACUGGGCGUAAAGCGCACGUAGGCGGAUAUUUAAGUCAGGGGUGAAAUCCCGGGGCUCAACCCCGGAACUGCCUUUGAUACUGGGUAUCUUGAGUCCGGAAGAGGUGAGUGGAAUUCCGAGUGUAGAGGUGAAAUUCGUAGAUAUUCGGAGGAACACCAGUGGCGAAGGCGGCUCACUGGUCCGGUACUGACGCUGAGGUGCGAAAGCGUGGGGAGCAAACAGG